rnacentral:rRNA from 1 species
CUAAGGAACUCGGCAAAAUUACCUCGUAACUUCGGAAGAAGAGGUACCCCUUCACGGGGGUUGCAAUAGAUUGACCCUGGCGACUGUUUACCAAAAACACAGGUCUCCGCUAAUUCGUAAGAAAAAGUAUGGGGGCUGACGCCUGCCCAGUGCCGGAAGGUUAAAGAAGUUGGUUAGUCCUUGGACAAAGCUAGCGACUGAAGCCCCGGUGAACGGCGGCCGUAACAAUAACGGUCCUAAGGUAGCGAAAUUCCUUGUCGGGUAAGUUCCGACCCGCACGAAAGGCGUAACGAUCAGGGUACUGUCUCGGAGAGAGGCUCGGCGAAAUAGACAUGUCUGUGAAGAUGCGGACUACCUGCACCUGGACAGAAAGACCCUAUGAAGCUUUACUGUAUCUUGGAAUUGGGUUUGGUCUUUGCAUGCGCAGGAUAGGUGGGAGGCUUUGAAGAUGAUCUUGCGGGGUCGUUGGAGCCACUGGUGAGAUACCACCCUUGCAAUGAUAAAAUCCUAACUUUGAACCGUUAUCCGGUCAAAGAACAGUUUCAGGUGGGCAGUUUGACUGGGGCGGUCGCCUCCUAAAAGGUAACGGAGGCGUGCAAAGGCUCCCUCAGGCUGGUUGGACAUCAGUCGUAGAGUGUAAAGGCAUAAGGGAGCUUGACUGCGAGACCAACAAGUCGAGCAGAGACGAAAGUCGGCCUUAGUGAUCCGGCGCUUCCGAGUGGAAGGGGCGUCGCUCAACGGAUAAAAGUUACUCUAAGGAUAACAGGCUGAUCUCCCCCAAGAGUUCACAUCGACGGGGAGGUUUGGCACCUCGAUGUCGGCUCAUCGCAUCCUGGGGCGGUAGUACGUCCCAAGGGUUGGGCUGUUCGCCCAUGAAAGCGGUACGCGAGCUGGGUUCAGAACGUCGUGAGACAGUUCGGUCCAUAUCCGGUGCAGGCGUUAGAGUAUUGCGAAGACUCCUCCUUAGUACGAGAGGACCGGGGGGAAUGCACCGCUGGUGUACCAGUUAUCGUGCCAACGGUAAACGCUGGGUAGCCAAGUGCAGUUUGGAUAACUGCUGAAAGCAUCUAAGUAGGAAGCCAGCUUCAAGAUGAGUACUCUCACCGCUUCAAGCGGGUAAGAUCACGGCAAGAACAGCCGUUUGAUAGGCAUCAAGUGUAAGUGCAGUAAUGUAUUCAGCUGAGAUGUACUAAUAGAUCGAGGGCUUAUU